rnacentral:tRNA from 1 species
GGGGCUAUAGCCCAGUGGUAGAGCACAUGCUUAGCAUACACGAGGUCCUGGGUUCAAUCCCCAGUACCUCA